rnacentral:rRNA from 1 species
UUGGGAAUUUUGGGCAAUGGGCGAAAGCCUGACCCAGCAACGCCGCGUGAAGGAUGAAGUAUUUCGGUAUGUAAACUUCGAAAGAAUAGGAAGAAUAAAUGACGGUACUAUUUAUAAGGUCCGGCUAACUACGUGCCAGCAGCCGCGGUAAUACGUAGGGACCAAGCGUUGUUCGGAUUUACUGGGCGUAAAGGGCGCGUAGGCGGCAAUUCAAGUCAUCUGUGAAAUCUCCGGGCUUAACUCGGAACGGUCAGAUGAUACUGCUUUGCUAGAGUGCAGAAGGGGCAAUCGGAAUUCUUGGUGUAGCGGUGAAAUGCGUAGAUAUCAAGAGGAACACCUGAGGUGAAGACGGGUUGCUGGGCUGACACUGACGCUGAGGCGCGAAAGCCAGGGGAGCAAACGGGAUUAGAUACCCUCGUAGUCCCUGAGCGGGCUGGCAAGGCGCAU